ACUUCACUGGCCUCCUCCAGACGUGGUGGUUGCGCCCUUUCGGCCUCGCUUUCCGUUUUUUGGCUUCAUCCCCUAGAUCUGCAAACAGUUCCUCGUGUUUCUUCCGUUAGCCGGGAAACGCGAACUGCAGCGUUUGGGACCCGGGUUUGCGCGUGUGGAAAGCAAAAGGGGUUACUCUGCUGGAGUUCGACAUUGCAAAUAAAGGUCUUUAUCCCCGGCGGUUCUACAAAAUUAGUUCUGCAGGGAUUCUGGUUGAAAGAAGCGUUAAAGUGGGCCUUGUAGGAGUCAGCAAUAAUCCAAUUUUACAUGGGUGCAGGUGGCUGCCUGUGUCUAGCGCUUUCACACAUCUCAUAUCUUCAUCCACGCCGUGGGUAUUUUUUUUCCACGGUGUGUUUCUGUUGCUGCCUCCAGUAUAUUGCUUAAUCAUCCUACCUGGUAAUUAUUUAUGCAUUUUUCUCCUACUCUCGACUCAGCUCCUAGGGAAUAAAAACACAUUAACUUAUCUUUGUGCCCACAGCACCCACCAAGUAUUUCCAUCACGUAAUACUGCCUCUAGAAAGGCAGGAGGAGAAGCAGUCACGCUAAGGAUCUAGGCAAGCCAGAUCUUUUGUCCGGUUUUAGGAGGUGGCCAGCCCUUACUUAUUCCACAAGUGUUUUUCCAGAAACUCAGACUUGAUAUUGCCUCAAGUCCAAGGCAGUGUGCUUCCCCCACUCACAUAUCACUAAUAGUAGCUAACAUUUGUUCAGAUCCCUGUAUGUACUCUGCCACUGUUUUAAAUGUUACACCCGGGUUACCUCAUUUAAUCCUUACAACUGCCCUGUGAGGUAGGUACUAUUAUUAUCUCUACUUUGUAGAUGGGAUUCACCGAGGCACAGACGGUUAAAAAACCUAGCCCAAAUAACACAAAUAAACAGCAGAGCAUGCAGUGCUAGAGUCUGCAUUCUUAACAAUUGCUAUAUUCUCCCUCUCCGUGAAUGUGGGCUGAGAUGCUGAAACAGGCAUGUGCUGUGGGGGAGAAAAAGCUUUGUCCAACCAAGUGCUUUCUAAUGUCCAGAUGACAUAGAGCUAGGAUUUCCUAAUGUCUUUUUUCCCCUAUUUUUCUCUCCAUUUCAGGGUUGAGUUUGUGCAUCGAUUGUGAACACAACAGGCAGCAGGCUAUAAUGGUGGUCCUGGCUGGAGUAGUUUUCACAGACUUCAGUAAUCUGUGGAGAUGAACGGGCAGUUCUCUGUAGUUUUCACAGAUCACUGCCAGUUCGUUUUGAGGCCUUCAGGAGUGAAGACCUGGCUCAUCAUCACUCUUUGUUGUUUUGUUAAAUUUAUUUACACCCUACUUUAUUCCAGAGGAAAGGAUUUAACGUAGUUUACAUAAAUGUGUACAUCAGGGUAAAUUAAAAAUAAGUACAGAGAAAAAUAGGACAAAAGAAAACCGUGAGUGUGAAAGAUAAGAUUAAGCCAGCAGUUUUGUAUGCAAAAUGCAUGGUGUAAGGUCCUAUUGGUUUGCUGGAGGUAGGCCACACAUAUGACUCUCAGUUUUCUAGCAACCAAGAAAAAGAUCAGUUGCAAUCGGAGUAGGUGUUUUGGCUAAGCUGGAACUAGGACUUGAAUAUAGCAGCUUGUAGAGUUAUACCACUUGCCCAAAUCUCUUCCAUGAGCCUCUUUAAGUGUAACAGAAUGCCUGGGAGCACGUAAAUGCUCCUACUUAGAUGCCUACUUAGCCUCUAAUUUUCAUGGGGCCCAUGAAUCCCAUGAAAAAGAACUUUGAACCCUGUCCACAAUUAGAGUUCAGGUAUACGCAGACAUGUUUAAAGACAAGGGACACCCAAAGGAAAGAUUGCACAGAGAGAAAGUGAGCAUCCGAGAGAAAAUCACCACAAGUGAGGCAGAGGGAGGCCGGUCUCAGCAGAGUUUUGGAGGUCGUGAGAAGAAGAGGUAGGAGAUAGGAGAGUGGUUCCGAGUACUUGCCUGCUGAUGUUACCUUCUCCACCCCCACCAGGUUUUCCAGUGCCUGGAGUCUUGGGCAGGAAUGGGCCACUGUAAGAAAGAGCUUUAUCACUAGGGCCUCAGC
rnacentral:lncRNA from 10 species